rnacentral:rRNA from 1 species
UCCGGUGGUUAAUUCAAAAGGUCACACCUAUUCCCAUCCCGAACAUAGAAGUUAAGCUUUUGAUACCGAUGAUAGUAGAAAAAUUGCGAAAGUAGGGACCGCCGGUU